rnacentral:rRNA from 1 species
UACGUAGGGGGCAAGCGUUGUCCGGAAUCAUUGGGCGUAAAGCGCGUGUAGGCGGCUCGGUAAGUCUGCUGUGAAAGUCCAGGGCUCAACCCUGGGAUGCCGGUGGAUACUGUCGAGCUCGAGUCCGGAAGAGGCGAGUGGAAUUCCUGGUGUAGCGGUGAAAUGCGCAGAUAUCAGGAGGAACACCAAUGGCGAAGGCAGCUCGCUGGGACGUGACUGACGCUGAGACACGAAAGCGUGGGGAGCAAACAGG